ACCAGUUGCUUGUCACAUUCAAAUUGGUUGUCAUAGUAACGACAGUAAUUUAUGGAGAUUCAGUGCACUGAGUUCCACAAAUCUGGAUGCAUUAUUUGUAAAUUGACUGUUAAGAGAAUCAUUUUGCA